rnacentral:lncRNA from 1 species
UGGUGUUCUAAUUGCUUUCAUGAAUUAAAGGGUGGAUGUAUGGUAUUUGGAAACGUCAGCAUCCACAGUGUGGUGACAAGAAUACUUGAUUUGGAGGGGGAAAACAGAGUUCAAAUUCCAGCUCUGUUUCUUACUAAGAAGGUGUUAGCCAGUAACUCAUUUGGCCUUUUUGUGAAAGAAGGGGUUGGACUAGAAGAUCCCUGUCUAAUGUCCUUUUAAGCUCCAAAUCCUAUGUUCUUUUGGUCCAUCACCAAGCUAGAGGAAUAUCUUUCCUUAAAUCAGAUACCUUAUAGUUAGAUAUUCUUUGUGUACCCAUUGCCAUAACCUCCAUCUUAAGAAGGCUAUUUCAUAUUUGUCCAGAGGCACCUGCCUUCAUAACAAACUGCAAGAAGAGAGUCAUCACUCUUCACCUGUGGUGGUUUUUUUAAAAUGCUUCAGACACGUCUGAAAUAUAAUGAGAACAGGGAUUUGUCUGCCCUGAUUUAAUUACUACAAUCCAGAUAACACUGUCAAUCAAUUUUUCUCCUUGUGACUCUCAGCAGGGUGAAAAAUACCUUCAUUAUGAGGACUGAUCAUUAGUGGAUGCGGGGCUGGGCAAAUGAUGAAGAUGAGUUGUUGGGUCUGACAGAGAAUUGACCCACCACUGUCCCCAAGCAAAUUCUGUCAACUCUCUGGUAUCCUGGAGGGAACCUCUAAGCAGCAAAGUUCUGUGUUUGGCUAUGGGGAAACCCUUUGAAAGUUGCACAUCUGGGCUGCAGAUCAUGAAGAUGACUACAACUGGGCUAUCAACCACUGGUUCCUCCUGCCUAGUGCACAAGACAAGCACAUCUCCAGACUUCAGAAGAGGAUAUCUUGGGACUCUUGGAAUUAGAUGGAAACAAUCAACCAGGGUGCAUGGAACUCCUACUAUGUGCAAAACCUUGUGGGCAACAUGUAGAAGGGCAGGAAAGAAAAGAUCCCUGAUUUGUAGGAACAUAGAAGCGGAGACUUCCUGAGCCAGCUGGAAGCACUGGGGCCAUGCCUGCCUGUGUGAUUUCAAAGCAGAAAGAAAAACAACUCAGACUCUCAGACUUGGAUUUCUCUAACUGGCCUCUCUGCCAACAUAAACCUUGAAGCAGGAUUGUGCAUUUGGACUUCUUGGUCUGCCUCCCAGCAGGUCUGCCCAGCGUCUGUUUUAUAACCCCCAAAUUCCUUCUUGCCAUUGAGUUUGUAAACAGAAGGAAAGGGGGCUUGGAGGAACAGAUUCCUGUGUUUCUCUGCUAGUUGAAAGUUGCCAUCAGGAGUAAGCAAGAGUUGUCGGGGAAGCACAGCUGCUUGGUUUCUUUUGAAGAU